CAUCGAACUUGCUAGAGGCAGAGAGAGAAGUUCUGGCAUCGGACCUAAAAUGCCUCUGCCAUUUCCGUCAUCUUCCUUCUUCCUCCACUGAUCUCAAUGUCGCUGGCGCCAUGGGUGUUUGGAGAGCUGUGUCUGCUGUUGCUCUGUCAAGCGUCGGUCUACUUGAUUCUUCCCUGUGAACACCGUCGAUCACUUCUCCCCUGUUUUUGGCGUUGAUGCGUGCUCAUGUGACUGGAAAAAAAAACAGAGAGAAGAAAAACUUCGACCUUCUCCCUCUUCAGGUGUCAUAGGCUCUGUUGAUAUGUUAAUUGAUGCUGUGACUUUCGCUGGUCCUUACGGGGCUGUUGUAUUCAAUUGAAACGAAGAAUGGUAGAUCAAAUCAAUUUUAAUGUGCAUUUAAAUUUAUGCAUUAUAUUUUGUAACUUCUUGUGUCAGGUGCUCUAUAUAAGCUGUAGUUAGGGUCCUCAUCCUUAUUGAUUGUUUUUGUUAUCUGCUGGUGAGAGCAGAGUUCCUUGUUACUGUUGUUGUUUUGUAAAAUGAUUGUCGAUUUGUUUUU